rnacentral:lncRNA from 1 species
CUUUCCGAGGUGGGGGCGCUGCUCCGGAGGGAUAAACAUGUUCCUUCGGCCCGGGCGUGGUUUGGGCUAUUUUCUGCCAUUCUGUUUGUUUGGCUUUUUCCUCGUUUGCCUCCUGCUGCGUUGUAGGAUUACUUGUGGAGACCCUGUUCCCGAGGGAAGCGGGGGACCCAGGCCAGGCGCUGCUUGUGACAGGCCUGGUUUGGAAGCUCCCCCAGCACAAAAAUAUCUCUGCUCUCCGCGUUUUAAAGAGCCUGCUUCGGGCCCUCGUUCUCUUACACCUUGUCUACUGAAAUAGCCCUUCUGGUCGGAUUUGCCUGCCUACCUCAAUCUUCCUUUCACCCCAAUCUGUCCUCCCCUCAGUGGUCAAAGUGCCCUUCCUAAAGCUUGCCAUUUUCCUACUCCAUAAAUUCCACCUCUAGCAUCAAAUAUAAAG